CCCUAUGGGGUGCCCCAGGCUCAUGGGAGACAACGAUCUGCCUUCCAGCGGUCUCAUGACACCCGAGGAUGUGAUCCUGAAUAGGCUGAGAUACGAAGCCCGGAGUGAGCUUGAGGCUCAGGGCAAAGGCAGAGAUCCCUUCAAGAUCGAUCUAUUUGGGAUCGAGGAUGAAGUAGAGGCUCUAGCCAAUAGCAGGUUGAAGAAAGCAAUGGCAGAGGCCGGGCUAUCAUGAUCGACAAGGCCAGGGUCUGCUUUUCUCAGCAUGAAGACCUGUCUGCAGAACAUUUCAUAGAGCUGAUUGGAAAGCGGAUCCAGGAUUGCGAAGCAUGGGAGCGAAAACUCAGAUCCCGGGGCAAUCUGAAAGAGGCCAAGAAAAUCGAGAAAUGCAAAUUACAGAUGAUGAAAUCAUUGGGAGAACUCCAGAAAUGUCAAUCACACAAGAAGAGAUAACUAAGACCUUCGACGCUAUGCAGAGC
rnacentral:rRNA from 1 species